GCUGAUUGCUGUUCUGGGUGCAGUGGUUAUCGCCGUCACGGGUUCCCGCAGGCCACACAAGUUCCCUAGGCCUAUUACAUGCUGCAGGGAAGUUUCCAAUGCUGUCAUCCAAACAAUCGAGUCCUUUACACGCCAGCAUGCACAGCAUCCAUGCCUCGAUGCCAUUGUUUUUACCACAGAGGAUAAGAAGAAGUAUUGCACUGACCCAAAGGCACCAUGGGUGGAAAAAACUAUAAAAGAUCUGAAACCACAAUGAAUACCAACAUCUUUGCUUAACAAAGAGCUACCCUGGAGUAGAACCAACCUGCAGCGGAAUCAGGAAGCUGUCUUUCUCUAUAAUAUCCAGAUGCUAAUAUAUUUACGCUUGAAAAACCCACUGAUAAAUAAGCUUGAUGGAGCGAAAAAUGCACAGUUUGUACCAGGGAUUAGAAACAGUUCAAAUAAUGAAAACAAAAGAAAAAAAGAACACAGUUUUUGGAUGGAAGUAACCAAAAACAGGAACAAAAUCAAUUUCACUUGUUCCGAAGUGAAAACAUUAUUUUCCAUUUUAGCCCUGUCAUGCAGUUGACAGUUGGCCAUAAAUCAAUUUGUAAAGACAAUGUAAUUUUUAAAGGAACAUUAUUAACCGUUAUUAACCGGUUUACCAUUUAGAGGAGAGGCCUGGGAACACUGGAACAGGAACGAAAAAAUAAUGAACGAACCGAAAUGAAAAUCAUUCUGGUUUGUACUACUAAAAGGUUUUAGGAUCACAUUCAUUGCAUUUAACAUGGGUGUGAACAUGACAUUUUGGAAUAAAUACAGAACUGAAAUU